ensembl:lncRNA
CCCCAUUCAAAAUGUGAAAAACCAUCUGCUAAAACGUUUAGCAUUGGCUGUGACUAAAGAUAAGAGCUGUCCAGGUCUUAGUCUCUAUGGAAAUAAAAGCUCUUGGCCACUAACACACACUUGGCCCUUGAACUUAGUGGCUUGUGUUUGGUCAGUGCAUGCGAGUGGACAUGUCAGCAGCAAUGCACCAGGUCAGAAGCUUGUCAGGACCCUGAGCCAGAACAGGUCACGCAGGCCAGGACUGGGCUUCAGUCCACUGACCCAAGAUGCGAAAGAUGAACAAAGAUGAGUCUCUGGAUUUGGCACAGUUAAAAUCAGAGGCUGACGACAGCAAAAAAGCCCUUCAAAUGUUGACAGGUGAACAUGAGCAACUGAAAAUGCAGUUAAACCUUGAAAGAGAAAGUGGCAGAGAAAAGAUAAAACAGAUAAAAGAGGAAAUGGAGAAAGAAAUUGCAUGCAUUGAAGCCUCACGCAUGAAGGAGAAAGCAGCCACUGACAAGACGUUUGAGAGGCAGAAACCAGCAGAAACUACAACCAUGGAGCUUGCUGGGGAUACAGAGUUGGUUCAAAAAAUCAAAGAACAUAGAAAGACUGAAGCAAUGCAGAAAAAGGAGAUUGAAAGGCUCAGUAAGCAGUUGUGCAUGUCCAAUCAGGUGUGGGAAAAGAAGUUUGAGAUUUUAAGACAGAGUUUCCAUGCCAUCAAGGACGAGAUGUUCUUACGGCAGACAUUGCGGCGGCAGGAAGCCAUUCUGCACAACGCCUCAGUCAGCUUUGCGGUCAGUCGCUUCUCUCAGUCGCUGUCCACUUUGAAUAAAUAUGCCCUUCCAUGAUAUUUACACCAAAACAUGUAUUUUUCUUCAUCAAAGCCGGUCUUACCACACUGAAAGAGGGCAGGAGCUUUAAUCAUGUAACCCUUAAUGAGAUCUGCACCUGUGGCCUGUCCCGCACACACACAGAGCACAUAUACAGUAGAGGUUAACCCAGAACAGACUUUAACAGGUGCACGCACAUUAAGCCCCUCAUCUCUGGCCUCAAUUUGUGAAGGCUGAUGAAUAUGCAUAAGUUUUGUUUUUGUUUUGCGCUGCACCCCACACCCCAUUUACAAGGAGGACAAACGCAACUUGUUGAGGCCUGCCUGUGCCGGAUGUCAUUUAUUACACAAAUAAUGCACAUGAAAAUAGCUUAGAACCUCUUAAAAAGGACAUAUACCCAAUAUUUGCCACUAUAUAUAUUGUAUUUGUAUCAUGUAUACUAACAUUCAAAAGUUUGGUGGGUGUUUUUUCAAAAAAAGUUCAACAAAAGCUCACCAAAACUGCAUCUAUUUGAUAAAAAAAAUACAGUAAAAACUGUAUAAUAUUGUGAAAUAUUAUUAUAAUUUAAAAUAACUGUUUUAAUAAGUUUUAAAAUGUAAUUUAUUCCUGUGAUGGCAAAGCUGAAUUUUGAGCAGCCAUUGCUUCACAUGAUCCUUCAGAAAUAUGAUUUAGUGCUCAAGUAAUAUCUCUUAUGAUUAUCAAUUAUGAUGGCUUUUUUAAGAUUCUUUGAUAAAUAGAAAUGCCACUAAUGCCACCAAUAUUUUUUUGUAACAAAUGUGUCCUUGCUGAAUAAAAGUAUUAAUAUUAUUUUUUUUUUUUUUAAA